AUACGUAGGUGGCGAGCGUUGUCCGGAAUGAUUGGGCGUAAAGGGCGCGUAGGCGGCGCGGUAAGUCUAGAGUGGAAGUCCUGCUUUCAAGGUGGGAAUUGCUUUGGAUACUGCCGCGCUUGAGUGCAGGAGAGGUUAUCGGAAUUCCCGGUGAAGCGGUGAAUUGCGUAGAGAUCGGGAGGAACACCAGUGGCGAAGGCGGGUAACUGGACUGCAACUGACGCUGAGGCGCGAAAGUGUGGGGAGCAAACAGGAUUAGAUACCCUGGCAGUCCACACUGUAAACGAUGAAUGCUAGGUGUAAGAGGUAUCGACCCCUUUUGUGCCGGAGUCAACACAAUAAGCAUUCCGCCUGGGGAGUACGGUCGCAAGAUUGAAACUCAAAGGAAUUGACGG
rnacentral:rRNA from 1 species